UGGGCUAGAAUGUGAGGGAAUGUCGGGUAACGCCGACAGUCCGGGAAACCGGACCCGAAACAAGGUGCUGCAUGGCUGUCGUCAGCUCGUGUCGUGAGAUGUUGGGUUAAGUCCCGCAACGAGCGCAACCCUUAUCAACAGUUGCCAUCAUUAAGUUGGGCACUCUGUUGAGACUGCCGUUGAUAAAACGGAGGAAGGUGGGGAUGAUGUCAAGUCAUCAUGGCCUUUAUGCUCAGGG
rnacentral:rRNA from 1 species